rnacentral:lncRNA from 1 species
GGGUACUAGUCCUUGCAGGAACAGGUUAGUAGGUGUCCGAGGUUAGUUUGGCUAGUUAGAGUCCGAGUAGGACUUGUGUCAUGUUGGUCAAGGCUGCGUGCAUAUAUAUAGACGUGAAGGUAUGUGGAUUUUGGAGUACCGUGACUUGAGAAAAAAGAGAAAAUAAAGAGGGAAAAUUAAGGCACGACAAGGGCCCUUGGCUACAUAAUUUUGUGUGUGCGUGUUAGUAGUGAUUUCAUGUAAUCGAUCAUGAGGGUUGAGUUCCAACAAUUGGUAUCUAGAGCAAGGUCGAGGUGAAGCUAUACUUGCCCCGGGGAGGUGACCCGACUAGCGCCUCGGGGCGGGCUAUAUGGUCACUGGGUGGUGCAGCGACGAGGAGCGGCGGGCAAUGGUCGUUCGUGGAGCGACGGAUGAAGAGGUUCAGGAGAUCGUCGUUCGGCGAAGCGGCAAGGAGGGACAGUGGUCGGUCGUCGGCAAGGCGGUGGAAGAAAAUCGUUGAUGGGAGCGAUGGUGCCGAGGUGCGGUGCCGAGAAGCCAUCAAGGUCAUCGUCCAAGGGAAUAGGAGUCAAGGAGUCGUGCGGGUUGGGACAUCUCGGUCGUCGUGUCAGUGAGUCGUCGGCGUCGUCAUGUCCAAGUGCUCGUCUUGGUGAUGAUUCGUUGGAGUUGAAGCGGUGUGCACGGUGUUCCGUGAGUCAUAUCCAUGUCCUCGUGGAGCGUCCUGGUUGCGGCCAGUAUGGAUUCGGUGUGAUGCCGAAGGUGGACGAUGGUAGGCGAAGCCAUCGUAAAGCGAGGAGGUGUGCGAGUAGUGGAGAGUGGAUCUACUACAAGCAAGUACAAAGAGUAUGGUGCGGACCGAGUGCAAGGCAGCGGCCAAGCAAUGGCGGUGGCACAACAUUGUAGAGCAAGGAGGUUCUACUUGUUUCCAGACGGGUCAUACUCAAUGUACGGAUACGACGGUUUAGUCGAUGUGUCGACAAGUCACGAGUCAACAACGAGUCAAGACAAGACGGAACACUAAGAAGAUGGCAUGUCAAGAUUAGGAAGAGAUUGUUAGGUAUAAUCUUGAGUUUGUAGUCACUAGUGCAUGUACAGGUUGUGCUAGGACGUGUAGUCCAUGGUCUUGGGCUAAGUACGUGUCUAGUUUAGAUAGUUCUAGGAGUCCUGAGUCAUGUACGGGUACUAGUCCUUGCAGGAACAGGUUAGUAGGUGUCCGAGGUUAGUUUGGCUAGUUAGAGUCCGAGUAGGACUUGUGUCAUGUUGGUCAAGGCUGCGUGCAUAUAUAUAGACGUGAAGGUAUGUGGAUUUUGGAGUACCGUGACUUGAGAAAAAAGAGAAAAUAAAGAGGGAAAAUUAAGGCACGACAAGGGCCCUUGGCUACAUAAUUUUGUGUGUGCGUGUUAGUAGUGAUUUCAUGUAAUCGAUCAUGAGGGUUGAGUUCCAACAAUUGGUAUCUAGAGCAAGGUCGAGGUGAAGCUAUGCUUGCCCCGGGGAGGUGACCCGACUAGCGCCUCGGGGCGGGCUAUAUGGUCACUGGGUGGUGCAGCGACGAGGAGCGGCGGGCAAUGGUCGUUCGUGGAGCGACGGAUGAAGAGGUUCAGGAGAUCGUCGUUCGGCGAAGCGGCAAGGAGGGACAGUGGUCGGUCGUCGGCAAGGCGGUGGAAGAAAAUCGUUGAUGGGAGCGAUGGUGCCGAGGUGCGGUGCCGAGAAGCCAUCAAGGUCAUCGUCCAAGGGAAUAGGAGUCAAGGAGUCGUGCGGGUUGGGACAUCUCGGUCGUCGUGUCAGUGAGUCGUCGGCGUCGUCAUGUCCAAGUGCUCGUCUUGGUGAUGAUUCGUUGGAGUUGAAGCGGUGUGCACGGUGUUCCGUGAGUCAUAUCCAUGUCCUCGUGGAGCGUCCUGGUUGCGGCCAGUAUGGAUUCGGUGUGAUGCCGAAGGUGGACGAUGGUAGGCGAAGCCAUCGUAAAGCGAGGAGGUGUGCGAGUAGUGGAGAGUGGAUCUACUACAAGCAAGUACAAAGAGUAUGGUGCGGACCGAGUGCAAGGCAGCGGCCAAGCAAUGGCGGUGGCACAACAUUGUAGAGCAAGGAGGUUCUACUUGUUUCCAGACGGGUCAUACUCAAUGUACGGAUACGACGGUUUAGUCGAUGUGUCGACAAGUCACGAGUCAACAACGAGUCAAGACAAGACGGAACACUAAGAAGAUGGCAUGUCAAGAUUAGGAAGAGAUUGUUAGGUAUAAUCUUGAGUUUGUAGUCACUAGUGCAUGUACAGGUUGUGCUAGGACGUGUAGUCCAUGGUCUUGGGCUAAGUACGUGUCUAGUUUAGAUAGUUCUAGGAGUCCUGAGUCAUGUACGGGUACUAGUCCUUGCAGGAACAGGUUAGUAGGUGUCCGAGGUUAGUUUGGCUAGUUAGAGUCCGAGUAGGACUUGUGUCAUGUUGGUCAAGGCUGCGUGCAUAUAUAUAGACGUGAAGGUAUGUGGAUUUUGGAGUACCGUGACUUGAGAAAAAAGAGAAAAUAAAGAGGGAAAAUUAAGGCACGACAAGGGCCCUUGGCUACAUAAUUUUGUGUGUGCGUGUUAGUAGUGAUUUCAUGUAAUCGAUCCUGAGGGUUGAGUUCCAACAGUAAUGCUUAAACCUUUUAAAUAAUAGAGCUUCCCAUUUUAGAAAAUAUGGCAACGGAAAAAAUGCACUAUACAAAAUAGUGUCGACCCUUAAAAUAUGUUCCUAACAUUUUUAGAAAGACAAUUCUCUACAUAGUAUAGCGUGCUAUUAAUGACGCUAUAGCAUUGCUAUUUUUGCCCUAGUUAUAUAUAUGAUGGUAAGUAUGAGGAACUUAGUUAGAGUUAU